rnacentral:rRNA from 1 species
AGUCGAACGGGAAGAGAUGAAGAGCUUGCUCUUUAUCAAAUCCAGUGGCAAACGGGUGAGUAACACGUAAACAACCUGCCUUCAGGAUGGGGACAACAGACGGAAACGACUGCUAAUACCGAAUACGUUCCACGGGCCGCAUGACCUGUGGAAGAAAGGGUAGCCUCUACCUGUAAGCUAUCGCCUGAAGAGGGGUUUGCGUCUGAUUAGGCAGUUGGUGAGGUAACGGCUCACCAAACCAACGAUCAGUAGCCGGUCUGAGAGGAUGAACGGCCACACUGGAACUGAGACACGGUCCAGACUCCUACGGGAGGCAGCAGUGGGGAAUCUUCCGCAAUGGACGAAAGUCUGACGGAGCAACGCCGCGUGAGUGAAGACGGCCUUCGGGUUGUAAAGCUCUGUGAUCCGGGACGAAAGAGCCUGAGGUAAAUAGCCUAAGGAAGUGACGGUACCGGAAAAGCAAGCCACGGCUAACUACGUGCCAGCAGCCGCGGUAAUACGUAGGUGGCAAGCGUUGUCCGGAAUUAUUGGGCGUAAAGCGCGCGCAGGCGGCUUACUAAGUCCAUCUUAAAAGUGCGGGGCUUAACCCCGUGAUGGGAUGGAAACUGGAAAGCUGGAGUAUCGGAGAGGAAAGUGGAAUUCCUAGUGUAGCGGUGAAAUGC